UGAAGCCAAAGUCGAUGUGGAUGAUGUGACCUUCUGCGUCCAGAAGGAUGUUCCCGUUGUGUCUGAGGAAGGGAGGAGGAAGAGACAACAUGACAUUUUUGGGGAUAAAUUAAAAAAUGCUUUCAUAUUUCACCUUUUAAAACUCAGAACAUAACAAAUGCCACUUAUUGGAAAUUCAUGCUGUUAGAAACCCCGAAGUACACUUAAUAAAAGGAGGAAGUAAUCGAGCAAGGAGAGCUGUGACUGUUUCUUCACCUGGUGGAUGGACACAGCGUUGACUACUGGUUCAAUCAUGCCGCUGUCU